AGGUCAGGGGACAACUUUUAGAAGUCCAUUUACUCCUUCACCAUGUCAAGAUCUGUAGCUUGCAUAUGAAUGAGAUCACACAGCACUUGAAUUUCUGUACCUACAUUCAAAUUAACAUGAGUCGUUUGAGAAGAUGCUACGAUGAAAACUAAUGUUUGUAUGCUUCUAGAAAUGUAAUAAAUGUUUUUAAACAACA